rnacentral:rRNA from 1 species
AAGAAAAGCUCCGGUGUAUACUAAGGCGCCCGUACCGUAAACCGACACAGGUGGGUGGGCAUAAAUGUGCCAAGGCGCGUGAGUGAAACCUCGUUAAGGAACUCUGCAAUCUAGCCCCGUAACUUCGGAAGAAGGGGUGCCCUCUUAGGAGGGUCGCAGUGAAAUGGGUCAACCGACUGUUUAACAAAAACACAGCACUCUGCUAAGUUUUAUGACGACGUAUAGGGUGUGACACGUGACCAAUGCGGAAAGAUUACGGUAAGGGGUCAGCCGCAAGGCGAAGCUCUGAGCUCAAGUCCCCGUGAAUGUCGGCCGUAACUAUAACGGUCCUAAGGUAGCGAAAUUCCUUGUCGGGUAAGUUCCGACCUGCACGAAUCGUGUAACGAGUUGACCGCUGUCUCAACGAGGAGCUCAGCGAAGUUGUAGUGGCGGUGAAGAUGCCGCCUACCCGCAGUAGGACGGAAAGACCCUAUGCACCUUUACUGUACGCUGUCACUGUUGUUUCGGUUUUAUUGCUUAGCGUAAGUGGGAGGCUUUGAUUCAUCUCUUUUGGGGGAUGAUGAGCCGCCAAUGAAACACCACCCUGUGAAACUGGAACUUCUAACCGCGGCCCGUAAUCGGGCGCGAAACACUGGCAGCCGGUCAGUUUGACUGGGGCGGUCUCCUCCCAAAGAGUAACGGAGGAGUACGAAGGUUGGCUCAGCCUGGUUGGUAAUCAGGUGACGAGUAUAUGGAUAUAAGCCAGCUUAACUGCGAGACAUACAAGUCGAGCAGGUACGAAAGUAGGUCCAAGUGAUCCGGUGGUUUAAUGUGGAAUUGCCAUCGCUCAACGGACAAAAGGUACGCUAGGGAUAACAGGCUGAUCCUGCCCAAGAGCUCAUAUCGACGGCAGGGUUUGGCACCUCGAUGUCGGCUCAUCACACCCUGGGGCUGGAGAAGGUCCCAAGGGUCCGGCUGUUCGCCGGUUAAAGUGGUACGCGAGCUGGGUUCAGAACGUCGCGAGACAGUUCGGUCCUUAUCCACUGUGGGCGCAGGAGAUUUGAGGGGUUCAAUCCUUAGUACGAGAGGACCGGGAUUGACAAACCUCUGGUGAUCCAGUUGUUCCGUCAGGAGCACCGCUGGGCAGCUAUGUUUGGAAAGGAUAAGCGCUGAAAGCAUCUAAGCGCCAAGCCUCUCCCAAGAUGAAAUCUCCCUGAAGAGCCGUGGAAGACUACCACGUUGAUAGGUCGCGGGUAUAAGCGCA